UACGAAGGGGGCUAGCGUUGCUCGGAAUCACUGGGCGUAAAGCGCACGUAGGCGGUUUGUUAAGUCGGGGGUGAAAUCCUGGAGCUCAACUCCAGAACUGCCUUCGAUACUGGCGAUCUUGAGUCCGGGAGAGGUGAGUGGAACUCCGAGUGUAGAGGUGAAAUUCGUAGAUAUUCGGAAGAACACCAGUGGCGAAGGCGGCUCACUGGCCCGGUACUGACGCUGAGACGCGAAAGCGUGGGGAGCAAACAGG
rnacentral:rRNA from 1 species